rnacentral:rRNA from 1 species
CCUACGGGCGGCUGCAGUGGGGAAUAUUGCACAAUGGGCGCAAGCCUGAUGCAGCCAUGCCGCGUGUGUGAAGGAGGCCUUCGGGUUGUAAAGCACUUUCAGCGGGGAGGAAGGCGGUGAGGUUAAUAACCUCAUCGAUUGACGUUACCCGCAGAAGAAGCACCGGCUAACUCCGUGCCAGCAGCCGCGGUAAUACGGAGGGUGCAAGCGUUAAUCGGAAUUACUGGGCGUAAAGCGCACGCAGGCGGUCUGUCAAGUCGGAUGUGAAAUCCCCGGGCUCAACCUGGGAACUGCAUUCGAAACUGGCAGGCUAGAGUCUUGUAGAGGGGGGUAGAAUUCCAGGUGUAGCGGUGAAAUGCGUAGAGAUCUGGAGGAAUACCGGUGGCGAAGGCGGCCCCCUGGACAAAGACUGACGCUCAGGUGCGAAAGCGUGGGGAGCAAACAGGAUUAGAUACCCUUGUAGUC